CCUACGGGAGACAGCAGUGGGGAAUAUUGGGCAAUGGAGGAAACUCUGACCCAGCAAUGCCGCGUGAAUGAAGGAGGUCUUCGGAUUGUAAAGUUCUUUAGUCAGGGAAGAAUAAAAUGACGGUACCUGAAGAAUAAGCUCCGGCUAACUACGUGCCAGCAGCCGCGGUAAUACGUAGGGAGCAAGCGUUGUUCGGAAUGAAUGGGCGUAAGGGGUGCGUAGGCGGGCCUUCAGGCCGGCGGUAAAAUUGCGGGGCUCAACCCCGCCGAGCCGUCGGAACCGGGGGCCUUGAGUACCGGAGAGGUACGCGGAAUGCGUGGUGUAGCGGUGAAAUGCAUAGAUAUCACGCAGAACCCCGAUUGCGAAGGCAGCGUACCGGCCGGUCACUGACGCUGAGGCACGAAAGCGCGGGUAUCGAACAGGAUUAGAUACCCUUGUAGUC
rnacentral:rRNA from 1 species